rnacentral:rRNA from 1 species
GACGAACGCUGGCGGCGUGCUUAACACAUGCAAGUCGAACGGAAAGGCCCUGCUUUUGUGGGGUGCUCGAGUGGCGAACGGGUGAGUAACACGUGAGUAACCUGCCCUUGACUUUGGGAUAACUUCAGGAAACUGGGGCUAAUACCGGAUAGGAGCUCCUGCUGCAUGGUGGGGGUUGGAAAGUUUCGGCGGUUGGAGAUGGACUCGCGGCUUAUCAGCUUGUUGGUGGGGUAGUGGCUUACCAAGGCUUUGACGGGUAGCCGGCCUGAGAGGGUGCCCGGCCACAUUGGGACUGAGAUACGGCCCAGACUCCUACGGGAGGCAGCGGUGGGGAAUAUUGCACAAUGGGCGGAAGCCUGAUGCAGCAACGCCGCGUGCGGGAUGACGGCCUUCGGGUUGUAAACCGCUUUCGCCUGUGACGAAGCGUGAGUGACGGUAAUGGGUAAAGAAGCACCGGCUAACUACGUG